AGUGAACGCUGGCGGCAGGCCUAACACAUGCAAGUCGAGCGGAUGAAGGGAGCUUGCUCCUGGAUUCAGCGGCGGAGGGGCGAGUAAGGCCUAGGAACCUGCCUGGUUAUGGGGGAUAACGGGCGGAAACGGGCGCUAAUACCGCAUACGUCCUGAGGGAGUAAGGGGGGGAGCAGCGGACCUCACGCUAUCAGAUGAGCCUAGGUCGGAUUAGCUAGUUGGUGGGGUAAAGGCCUACCAAGGCGACGAUCCGUAACUGGUCUGAGAGGAUGAUCAGUCACACUGGAACUGAGACACGGUCCAGACUCCUACGGGAGGCAGCAGUGGGGAAUAUUGGACAAUGGGCGAAAGCCUGAUCCAGCCAUGCCGCGUGUGUGAAGAAGGUCUUCGGAUUGUAAAGCCCUUUUAGUUGGGAAGAAGGGCAGUAAGUUAAUACCUUGCUGUUUUGACGUUACCAACAGAAUAAGCACCGGCUAACUUCGUG
rnacentral:rRNA from 1 species